UUUCCGUAGGUGAACCUGCGGAAGGAUCAUUAAAGAACGCCCCGUUUUUUGAAAUGGGUAAUUCUAAACCGUGUAUACAUACCUUUGUUGCUUUGGCAGGCCGCCCCUCAGGGCGUCGGCUCCGGCUGACUGCGCCUGCCAGAGGACCCAAACUCUUUUGUUUAGUGAUGUCUGAGUACUAUAUGAUAGUUAAAACUUUCAACAACGGAUCUCUUGGUUCUG
rnacentral:misc_RNA from 1 species